UACAGAGGUCUCAAGCGUUUGUUCGGAUUCAUUGGGGCGUAAAGAGCGCGUAGGCGGGUCCGAUAAGUCGGCUGUGAAAAGUCAGGGGCUCAACCCUUGGAAGCCGGCCGAUACUGUCGGACUAGAGUCCGGAAGAGGCGAGUGGAAUUCCCGGUGUAGCGGUGAAAUGCGCAGAUAUCGGGAGGAACACCAAUGGCGAAGGCAGCUCGCUGGGACGGUACUGACGCUGAGG
rnacentral:rRNA from 1 species